rnacentral:rRNA from 1 species
UACGUAGGGGGCAAGCGUUGUCCGGAUUUAUUGGGCGUAAAGAGCGUGUAGGCGGCUAGGCAGGUCCGUUGUGAAAACUCGAGGCUCAACCUCGAGACGCCGGUGGAAACCAUCUAGCUAGAGUCCGGAAGAGGAGAGUGGAAUUCCUGGUGUAGCGGUGUAAUGCGCAGAUAUCAGGAAGAACACCCGUGGCGAAGGCGGCUCUCUGGGACGUGACUGACGCUGAGACGCGAAAGCGUGGGGAGCGAACAGG